AUUGAUUUGGCAGACUAGUGUAUUAAAUUUAGAAUUUAAAAAAGUAAUUAAUUUUACAUUCAAUA
rnacentral:tRNA from 1 species